CCUACGGGAGGCAGCAGUGAGGAAUAUUGGUCAAUGGACGAGAGUCUGAACCAGCCAAGUAGCGUGAAGGAUGACUGCCCUAUGGGUUGUAAACUUCUUUUAUAUGGGAAUAAAAUGUUCCACGUGUGGGAUUUUGUAUGUACCAUAUGAAUAAGGAUCGGCUAACUCCGUGCCAGCAGCCGCGGUAAUACGGAGGAUCCGAGCGUUAUCCGGAUUUAUUGGGUUUAAAGGGAGCGUAGGUGGAUUGUUAAGUCAGUUGUGAAAGUUUACGGCUCAACCGUAAAAUUGCAGUUGAAACUGGCAGUCUUGAGUACAGUAGAGGUGGGCGGAAUUCGUGGUGUAGCGGUGAAAUGCUUAGAUAUCACGAAGAACUCCGAUUGCGAAGGCAGUUCACUGGACUGCAACUGACACUGAGGCUCGAAAGUGUGGGUAUCAAACAGGAUUAGAUACCCGAGUAGUC
rnacentral:rRNA from 1 species